GUAUGUGAUGGAUGAACUAGGUUCAGCUUUGCGGCAUAGUGAUGAGCCAAAUUUCAGAGUGUCACCUUUUCUCUACAUGCCAGAUGGUAAACUGGCAUCAGCUGUAAGCUUUUCAAUUCUAUGGCCGACCCAGAAUGUUCAAAAAGGUGAUGAGUGUACUCGUGAUUUUCUAUGUGGUAUUGGAGAGGAGAAGCAACGUUCUGCCAGACUUACUGCUUGGUUCCAUACACCACAAAAUUAUUUUAUUGAACAAUAUGAGAAAUGCAGGCAAAAAUUGCAAUCAACAAGUUUCGUCUCCCCGCCCAUGAAGCCAUGCACAACCAAUAGUUUGCUGUGUAAUGAUGGAAGCCCUUUACGUGUCUACACAGAUAUACCUCAUGUGGAAGAACUUUUGACACGCCCAGAAUUUGAAAUCAGUACUGAUCCAAAGGAUGCAGAUAUAAUAUGGACAGGUAUGCAGGUGGAUGAGGAAAUGAAGGUGGCUGCUGGACUGACAGAUCAACAAUACAUAAAUCAAUUUCCUUUUGAGGCUUGUCUUGUAAUGAAACAUCAUCUAGCAGAAACUGUUCAGAAGGCAUAUGGAUAUCCAGAUUGGUUGCAGUCUACUUACAAUCUUGAAACACAGCUAACUCAUCUGAUUGGUGACUAUUAUGUACGCAAAAGGGAUGGACUUGACAAUCUAUGGAUCUUAAAACCGUGGAACAUGGCACGAACUAUUGAUACAACUAUAACUGGUAAUUUAUCAGCCAUUAUUCGACUCAUGGAGACUGGUCCAAAAGUAUGUCAGAAGUAUAUAGAAUACCCUGCAUUGUUCAGAGGGAAGAAAUUUGAUCUCCGUUACAUCAUUCUGGUUCGCAGUAUCGACCCCUUGGAAAUAUUCCUUUCUGAUGUUUUUUGGGUUAGAUUAGCAAACAAUCCAUAUUCUUUAGACAAGCGCAGCUUUUCUGAAUAUGAGACUCAUUUCACUGUUAUGAACUACAGGGGGAAGUUGAAUCACAUGAACACACCAGAAUUUGUUAGGGAGUUUGAAAAGGAACACCAAGUUAAAUGGUGGGAUAUCCAUGUGAGAGUCAAAAGGAUGAUCCGGUCAGUUUUUGAGUCAGCUGCAGUAGUGCACCCAGAAAUGCAGAGUUCACAAUCUCGGGCCAUAUAUGGCGUCGAUGUUAUGCUUGAUUGUCAUUUCCAGCCAAAGUUAUUAGAGGUGACCUACUGCCCUGACUGUACUAGAGCAUGCAAGUAUGAUAUGGAGGCUAUAUUUAAAGGAGGUGAAAUCAUGAAAGCUCGCGACUUCUAUAAUCAUGUGUUUGGUUGUCUCUUUCUAAAUGAAACAACCCAUGCUGACCCAUUGUAAUUGAAAGCUAAAAAGAAAUUAUUUUGCAAGGAUUUGUAAUGUGGAUGUUUUGGAAGAUGAUGAAGAUGGUAGCCAGUUUGUUUAGCUGGUGAAGUGUCUUGGUAUAUGUACAAUACCAAAGCGCCUUCACUUGAGUUUGGGAGUUAUAAUGGCUUAUAUUGCUUGACCCAAUGAGGUGCAUGAUCACGUUUCUGGUAUGCAAGUAACUAAAUAACACUGGGUACAAACAAGGAGACUGAAGAACAUUUCAGGCUUUUCCGAGCCAGACAACUAACACUAUAUGCAUAGAAUUGAAUUAGGAUCUGCCUUUUAAACCGAGUAAUCAAUCAUGCGAACAUCAUCAAUCUGUUUUAUUAGUAAUAAUAUAGUAGGACACUUUGCAAAUUACGUUGACGAAGUGCUACUUUAGGACCAAUUGAUUGAUUGAUUUAUUUGGUUUGUGUAUCGGACUGAGGCAAUGUAUUCCUUUUUUUUGGAGAACUCAAUAUUCCUUUGUAAUUCCGAAUUUGACAAUACUCUCGCUAAUGUCAGAAUCAUGAAUUAAUACUUUGUUUGUUUUGGUAGAAAA